CUAAAGCUUAAGAAGGGUUUUCUACACUAUUGCACGAGUGUAUGGCUUUAAAACAAUCUCUUUUCUGUUUGACUUUCUCUUGCAUACUCUUAUCCC